rnacentral:misc_RNA from 1 species
UAACAUUUAGGUAAAAGAGGGUGGCUCUGGUGCAACCGUAAAUUUAAUCCAUUUGUGGCCUAGAGGUCACAAGUUCAAGCCAUGGAAAUAGCCUCUUUUGAAAGCAAAGGUAAAGCUACGUAAAUCAACCCUUCCCCAAAGCCCCCAAGUGUGGGAUGCUUCGUGAACUAGGUUACCCUUUUUUAUAACAUUUAGGGUAAAAAAAGAA